GGGGAAUCUUCCGCAAUGGACGAAAGUCUGACGGAGCAACGCCGCGUGAGUGAUGACGGCCUUCGGGUUGUAAAGCUCUGUUAAUCGGGACGAAAGGUCUUCUUGCGAAUAGUUAGAAGAAUUGACGGUACCGGAAUAGAAAGCCACGGCUAACUACGUGCCAGCAGCCGCGGUAAUACGUAGGUGGCAAGCGUUGUCCGGAAUUAUUGGGCGUAAAGCGCGCGCAGGCGGAUCAGUCAGUCUGUCUUAAAAGUUCGGGGCUUAACCCCGUGAUGGGAUGGAAACUGCUGAUCUAGAGUAUCGGAGAGGAAAGUGGAAUUCCUAGUGUAGCGGUGAAAUGCGUAGAUAUUAGGAAGAACACCAGUGGCGAAGGCGACUCUCUGGACGAAAACUGACGCUGAGGCGCGAAAGCCAGGGGAGCGAACGGGAUUAGAUACCCCGGUAGUCCUGGCCGUAAACGAUGGGUACUAGGUGUAGGAGGUAUCGACCCCUUCUGUGCCGGAGUUAACGCAAUAAGUACCCCGCCUGGGGAGUACGACCGCAAGGUUG
rnacentral:rRNA from 1 species